AUCACUACGCUAGAUGCAUAUCAAUAAGCGGAGGAAAAGAAACUAACAAGGGUUCCCCUAGUAACGGCGAGUGAAGCGGGAAGAGCUCAAAUUUGAAAUCUUAAAAGGUUUUCCCUUUACGAAUUGUAGUUUAAAGAAGUGUUUUCUGUUGAAGUUUUGGUACAAGUUCUUUGGAAUAGGACAUCAUAGAGGGUGAGAAUCCCGUAUUUGACCUUAAUUUUUCAACUUUGUGAUACACUUUCAAAGAGUCGGAUUGUUUGGGAAUGCAGUCCAAAAUGGGUGGUAAAUUUCAUCUAAGGCUAAAUAUUGGCGAGAGACCGAUAGCGAACAAGUACCGUGAGGGAAAGAUGAAAAGAACUUUGAAAAGAGAGUUAAAUAGUACGUGAAAUUGUCAAAAGGGAAGCGUUUGGCACCAGUGUUGUUUUUCUAAAAAUCAAUUUAAAAUUUGCUUAUGUUAAGUGUUUUAGACUUAAUCGGCUAUACAUUUAAUUCUUUGUAAAUUUUGAAUGCACUUUUUAGUUAACAGGUCAACAUCAAUUUCUUUUGUUGUAAAAGAAUAAGAGGAAGGUGGCUUGAGAUUCGUUUCAAGUGUUUAUAGCCUCUUUCCAUGCAAUAGGAGAGAUUGAGGUCUGCAGCAUAGAUCCUUCGGGGCUAGAUGCUUUUGUGCUAGAAGCUAGUAUUAUAUAGACAACUUGUUGAUUAUGUAAUAUAUUAGUUUCUACUCGCUUAAGUUAUUUUACCUACGCUUAGGAUGUUGACUGAUAUGUAGUCGUA
rnacentral:rRNA from 1 species